rnacentral:rRNA from 1 species
GACGAACGCUGGCGGCGUGCUUAACACAUGCAAGUCGAACGGAAAGGCCCUGCUUUUGUGGGGUGCUCGAGUGGCGAACGGGUGAGUAACACGUGAGUAACCUGCCCUUGACUUUGGGAUAACUUCAGGAAACUGGGGCUAAUACCGGAUAGGAGCUCCUGCUGCAUGGUGGGGGUUCGAAAGUUUCGGCGGUUGGGGAUGGACUCGCGGCUUAUCAGCUUGUUGGUGGGGUAGUGGCUUACCAAGGCUUUGACGGGUAGCCGGCCUGAGAGGGUGACCGGCCACAUUGGGACUGAGAUACGGCCCAGACUCCUACGGGAGGCAGCAGUGGGGAAUAUUGCACAAUGGGCGGAAGCCUGAUGCAGCAACGCCGCGUGCGGGAUGACGGCCUUCGGGUUGUAAACCGCUUUCGCCUGUGACGAAGCGUGAGUGACGGUAAUGGGUAAAGAAGCACCGGCUAACUACGU